GACGAACGCUGGCGGCGUGCUUAACACAUGCAAGUCGAACGGAAAGGCACUGCUUUUGUGGGGUGACCGGGUGGCAAACGGGUGCGUAACAGGUGAGUAACCUGACCUUGACUUUGGGAUAACUUCAGGAAACUGGGGCUAAUCCCAGAUAGGAGCUCCUGCUGCAUGGUGGGGGUUGGAAAGUUUCGGCUGUUGGGGUUGGACGGGCGGCUUAUCAGCUUGUUGGUGGGGUAGUGGCUUACCAAGGCUUGGACGGGUAGCCGGCCUGAGAGGGGGACCGGCCUCAUGGGUACUGAGAGAGGCAGCAGACGCCUACGGGAGGCAGCAGUGGGGAAUAUGGCACAAUGGGCGGAAGUCUGAGACAGAAACGCCGCGGUCGGGAUGACGGCCUUCGGGUUGUAAACCGCUUCCGCCUGUGACGAAGCUGUAGUGACGGUAAUGGGUAAAGAAGCACCGGCUAACUACGUG
rnacentral:rRNA from 1 species